GGAGGCUUAGCUCAGCUGGGAGAGCAUCUGCCUUACAAGCAGAGGGUCAGCGGUUCGAUCCCGUUAGCCUCCACCA
rnacentral:tRNA from 16 species